rnacentral:rRNA from 1 species
CCCAAGGGUUCGGCUGUUCGCCGAUUAAAGCGGCACGCGAGCUGGGUUCAGAACGUCGUGAGACAGUUUGGUCUCUAUCCUCUGCGCUCGUUGGAAUCCUGAGGAGGCCUGCCCAUAGUACGAGAGGACCUGGGUGGACGGACCUCUGGUAUGCCGGUUGUCGCGCCAGCGGCAUGGCCGGUUGGCUACGUUCGGGAGGGAUAACCGCUGAAAGCAUCUAAGCGGGAAGCCUGCUCCAAGAUUAGGAUUCCUUGACGCUCCUCGGAGCGUUUGUAGCCCGCAUGUUGAACACGUGUUCGAUAGGCCGGAGGUGGAAGUCCCGCGAGGGAUGGAGCCGACCGGUACUAACGGGCGAACGCGGCACACUC